GCAGACUAAGGGUCCGUUUACAAAUCGCUUAUAUACAAAGCUGCCAAGAAUUGAGCCUCAAAUCAGCGUUUGCCGCUGGCGUGGCCCUUGCCGGGGCGUGACACGUCGUCCGGCCCUUCUCCGGAGCUGAAUUUGGAGGCUGCGCGUUGCUUGCUUCCUCCGUCGUUGGAUGCCCAUCGUGCGUCCAUGCCUGCCCGACGCUGAUCAUUUUGCAAAAAAGCCCUUAAACUAAUUGAUAAUUUGGUUUUAGAUCUCUGGUAUACAGUUUCUACGUUCUACGUUAUUACGUAUAGGACCUCUAAAAAAGAAAUAUUCUAAUCAAAGAAGCAAAAAACAGAAAAUAGGACUGCGCUCGAAAACAUAGAAACUAAGGGGGUUUUCUGCAACAACUUGCAUCCCUAUCCCGGUCCCUCACCCCACGAAACCCUAGCCGCCGCCGUUCCGUCACCUCUCUCUUCUCGCUCGCUCUCCCUAGACCACACCGCCGCAUCCGCCUCCGCCUCCGACCACUCUUCUUGCACCCAGCCAAAUCGCCGCACCUCCCCCUUGCCACCGCGAGGCCAGUUCCGGCGGAGGGUAGACCGUGCUCGCCGGAUUCGGGUAGCCACGACCUCCUUGCCGGCGGAUCCGGUCACCCGGAGGCAAGGGCAGGGCUAGCACAUGAGGCUCAUCGGCAGUGUCGCGGUUCUUAGCAAAUAACUCAGAUUUCCUUGAGCAUAUCAUUUCAGGAUAAAAAGCAUAAGAGGUGGUCGACCAUCUAUAGUUGCUUUGCCUCUCACACGAGCCACGAAUGAAGCUCCACAGCUUAGCGGCAAUUGUAUACCAGUAGAUGAUGCUGGUUUUGUUUGCCAUCAGUCAUCUUGAUUACCUUGGUGCACAUGAUAUCAUCUGUUUAUUUGAAAGAAAACUAAAUUUCGAUUCGGUGACUACUUUACAGAUGAACACUCGACAUGAAUGUGUUUACGCACAAAAAGUAUUUGGCAAUGCGCCAAUGUGUUUUCC